GACGAACCGUGCGAACGUUGUUCGGAAUCACUGGGCUUAAAGGGCGCGUAGGCGGCUCGCCAAGUCAGGGGUGAAAUCCUCCAGCUCAACUGGAGAAGUGCCUUUGAUACUGGCGGGCUCGAGCGAGGUAGGGGCGGGUGGAACUUCCGGUGGAGCGGUGAAAUGCGUUGAUAUCGGAAGGAACGCCGGUGGCGAAAGCGACCCGCUGGACCUCUUCUGACGCUGAGGCGCGAAAGCUAGGGUAGCGGAACGGG
rnacentral:rRNA from 1 species